rnacentral:tRNA from 2 species
UCCUGGUUAGCUCAGUUGGUAGAACGCUCCACUGGGAAUGGAGAGGUCCCUGGUUUAAUACCUGGACCGGGCA